rnacentral:lncRNA from 1 species
UGAUUUUUAAAAAAAUAUAUAUUGAGUCAUUGAUUUUAAAAAAACGAAAUUUGGAAUAAACUUUGAGAAUUGGCGGCGUUGCGUUGAGCAUGGUUCGGGACAGCCUCCUAGUCUGGGGACACAAGGUUAAAGGGAGUCCGACCUAUAUCACAUUGUUUUGGUGUGUCCAUCGAGCAUUUGGUGAAAAAUGUUCGUCCGGUGAGCAGUGCUUUGGUGCGUGCAUGUGAAAUGGGUCUCGACUCCAAAUGGGGCGGGCUCGGUUGGAUAUAUACGGCGACCCUCCACGUUUUGGCUAGUCUAUGGAACGUGGACUGCCAAAUAUUCCCGUUUCCCCUCUUCCCGCCGAUGCAGGGGGACAUGUUUGGGGGCUUUGGUGGCGGCGGCGGGUUUGGGGGAGGAGCAGGAGGGUUCGGAGGUGGUUUUGGAGGGGGUGGAGGGUUCGGCGGCGGUGGGAAUAUUCUCCCGUUCCCCCUUUUUCCGAUGCCAUUUGACAUGGGAGGAUUCGGACAGCCAGGCGUCAUAAUCACCAACAUCACUAUUCCUGGAGGACCGGCGGGUCCUGGAGGAUCAGGACCUGGAUCGUCACCUCGGCCGACCGGCGGCGGGACUGCCCCAGGCGGCUCAACGCCUUCAGGAGGAGGGAGCUCGCGGCCUCCAUCGGGCCCCAGCUCAUCGCCGAGACCCUCGGGACCUCCAGGAGGCGGAGGAACAGGAGGCGGAUCAGGUCAACCAGGUCGGCCAGGAGGUCCGGGGGCAGGCGGGCCUCCCGGAGGAGCAGGAGGCCCCGGGGGAGGUGGUUCCCCUGGAGGUUCUGGAGCUCCAGGCGGGGCGCGACCCCCUGGAGCAGGGGGGCCUGGGGCUCCAGGAGGAGGCAGCUCGCCGCGACCUCCAUCAGCCCCGGGUGGGGCUGGCGGGGGAUCCUCCCCAAGACCCGGAGGUGCACCAGGAGGAGCCGGCGGACCCGGAGGUGGUGCACCAGGAGGAGCAGGGGGGCCUGGAGGUGGUGGACCAGGUGGACCAGGUGGGGGUUCGUCCCCAAGACCCGGUGGUGCACCCGGAGGAGGUGGACCAGGUGGCGCAGGUGGGAGCUCGUCCCCAAGACCCGGUGGCGCUCCGGGUGGAGGUGCACCAGGGGGAGGUUCAGCACCAGGGGGAGGGGCUAGACCAACUGGCGCCGGUGGACCUGGUGGUCCUGGGGGUGCAGGGGGUGCAGGUGGACCUGGAGGAGCAGGUGGAGGUUCUGGUGGACCUGGCGGUUCUGGAGGUGCCGGCGGACCUGGAGGUCCGGGCGGUGGUGGACCUGGUGGUGGAGGAGGAGGUUCGUCGCCAAGACCGAUGCCAGGGUCGAGUCCCCGACCUCCAAGUGGACCUGGCACAUCUCCUCGACCUUCUGGACCUCCUGGACCACAACCAACAAGACCUCCCACCACCGCCACCGUAUACUACAUCUAUCCUCAAUGGUGUAAUGUAUGGUGCCGUCUGUACUAUAAACCAAAACCGGUGUACUACACGCCAUCUUGUCUACUUUAUGGCUGGAUGGGCUAUGGUGGCGGUUUUGGCUGGUAGAAGUUUCUUUUAUGGGUAUCGUCAACAUCGGCUGAACAGUUGGACUCCAACGCUCUACAUUAUUACAUAAGUUCCUUACUUUCUAAUCCCUCUGUUGCCAAAAACUAGUUGCUAAAUGAUAAUAUUCUGUAAUUAUCAUUCUGUUUAAUGAAACAUAGAAUCAAUUAAAGGCAUUUUGAAAAAAUAGAGAGAAAAUAUCUAGAAUGUCAAUAACAAUAGGUACCCACAUCGAAUUUUCUCGUGCAUGAACUAGCUCUGUGAAAUCGGAACUAACUAGCUUUGUAGGUGUGAGAUACAUACCUAUUAUUUACUUUUGUUUUGUUAUGCAGACUUCUUAGAAGAAGAGUUUCCAACUUGAAUAUCUGCCUUUAAGAUGCUCAUGACAAAAUGACGACGCAAUAAGUGCCAUAUUUUUAGUCGGAUCUCAUGAGGGCAAAACAUUUUACUGAGAAAGCAUUGCAACUUGCAUUUAUAUGGCAUUUGAACUUUUGAAUGGUUCUUACUCUCAGGAUCAAUUUGAAUUAUUUCAUCACUUGCAGUUUUAAAUAUUAGAAUGAAAAUGUCCGAUAAUGUACCAUGAAUGCAUACAAAGUUAAAAUUUUAGGGAAUGUCACUUGCAUCAGAAAACUCGGAUACAGACAAUAAACGGUCAAUUACGCCUUAAAGGCAUGGAUACCAACUAUAUGUACUACCUUGAUCAGUUUAAUCUUGAUUGUUUCUCCUUGUUCACUCUUUAGGCUUUUUUUGGAUAGGUUUUUAUUAUCUGUUUUAUAAAAUGUUGCCCAGUAUUUAUGUCGAACAUCUGUUUUUAUUUUUAAGUAAUUUAUUUUCAAUGAAUGGUUGUUCAUCAUACUGUUCAUUACUAUUUAUUAUAGAUUAAAUUAAUUUAUUGAUAUUGCA